UGUCCGCGGGGCUCCUAUGACGCACCCAGGCCGUUCUUGCGCCAGGCUGUUGUGCUCACUGCCUCUCCCAGCCAGUUCUCGUGCUCCCUAGAAAUCGGUGUGACUGGCUGCUCCUCCUCCUAUGCUUAACCUCCCGAGAAGCUCCCCUGACCUCCCUGGACCAAGUAGCCUUCCGUGCCGAGCACUCUCUACCACAUCACCCUCCAUGGCACUUAGCCCAGCUGGAAGAUGCCGUAUUUCCUUAUUUGCAUGUGACCGCUGCAGUCUCUCCAGCCAGAACAGAAGCUCCCUGUGGCAGUGGCCUGGCUUGCUCAGCACUUUGCCCAGCACCCUGCACAGUGCCCGGCAGUCAGUGCACAGCAGGUAUGUGUUGUAAAACAAAAUAAAAGGAAGUAGGUGUGAUCGAUGCGGAUGGCCCGCCCUGGUUUGCCUGUUCGGACUGGUUCCGGCUCCCAGGACAGGGGAAGCCAUAAAAGCGUUUGGACAGCAGAGUGCUGUGUGAGUUUGGUGCAUUAAGCCACCCCUCUGGCUGCCUCGACGAGACUGAGGACAGAAAAAGAGAUGGACUCCUGGUGUCUCGUGACAGCAGAAGAUCCAGGCAAGAAAGACAAGUGCCACUGACCCCCUUAGUGGGCAUUCUUCAGUGUCCACCCUCCAGGAAGGUCUACAGCGAUGAAGCCUGAGCCGGUGGAGAGACAGGCAUGGACAAGCGAGCAAUUUGCAAAGCCUUGGGAAGUGGUCCCGCACUGAUGCUGCCAGAGCUGCUGGUGCCGCCCACGCUCUGCACACAAGGCUGCUCCUUGCCUGCAGGGAGCUGAUCAUGGCCCCAGACCCCACCUGAGGGCUUCUCUUGGCCCAGGAGAAGCUCUGGGAACCAACACCCCAGACGCAGCCCUCUGCCGGUGGCAGAUGGGUACAGAGGAGCUGCUAAACAGCAGACCUGCCCUGACUCACUGCCCCACACCUCAUCAGGUUUCCUGGAAUCACGUCCCAGAUAAACUCCUUACUCUCAAGUCCCCCUCCCAGUGUCUGUUUCUGGGCACCCAAUGCAGGGCCAAUAGAAACCAAGCAGAGGCCAGGCCACCAUGGUGCAGGGGUGACACGAGUGCCCUGCAGGGUCAGAAGCCAUAUGGCUGACCACAGGGUCAGACCUCCAGGUCAGCCUCAGGGCACACCAGGUGCAUGUGCGUGUGUGUUGUGGGCGUCCAGACACUUGGGGAGCUGAGGAACUGGGGGAUCACAGCAUGACAAGACCCAGUUAGAGCUAGCUC